rnacentral:tRNA from 1 species
GUGGAAUCGAACCACUUCACUUUUAAACGGCUACAGGUUUGAAGCCUGCCCCGGACCUCUGAAGAU